GAAAAGUUGCAAAGCAAAACCGUUCAGCACAACUAUGUGAACACAAAGUUUGGAAAAUUAGUCUAUGUUUUGAAAGGCAGUGACAGUCUAUUUGCUUGUCAGAACUAGUCUGCUUCCCAUCUUAAUUCAGUUUCUGCAUUUGAAAUAUGCAAAUCAAGCAAAAUGUUCAUCUCUCUCCCUGCUGGGAUUGCAACCGCACUAUGAGUAAGGCUGUUGCUGUGGCUUUGGAUUGGUGCAAUGCUGCAUCACAGUACCUGGGACUCCAACAAAUGAAUAUUCGAUAGUAAACACAGUAUGAAUUAGAAGAAUGGACUGAUCUCCUUUUCUUUAAAGGUCAGGGAAUAUCUCUUUAGAGGAGCUCCAUGUUCUAAGAAGGCUUUUUGACCUUGCUGGAAUACUUUAGUCCUCAUCUAAGGACUGUAAGUACAUUUAUCCUAAUGUAGACCAGAGAUGUGUUGAAGCAAGCCCCCACAUUAGUAGCCUUCAAGAAAGACUUGAAAACAUGGCUCUUCCGUUGUGCUUUUGGAGAGUAACUACUUUAUAUUUCUUUUCCGUUGCUCCCUUCCAAUAUCUAUCCUCUAGACUGCACCACUAUCUUAUGACCCUGUUCUUUGUGGUUUUAUUCUUAUGUCUUUCUCACCCUGAGUUUUAACUUAAUGUUCAUGAGGCGCGCCCUUGUUUUUUUUCCCCUUGAUUUUGCAUUGUAAUGUAUAUUAUUAUCUAUUGUAUUGUUCACUGUGUUGUGAUAUGUUGUUCUUUUAUAUGCUGUUAUAUUGUAUUGUUCUGGGCAUGGCCCCAUGUAAGCAGCCCCGAGUCCCCGUUGGGGAGAUGGUGGCGGGGUAUAAAUAAAGUUUUAUUAUUAUUAUUAUUAUAUUAUUGAGCUAAAGCUCUCAUUAUUUCUAGCGAGAAUGCCCUUUGAUAAGGACUGUGACCCCAAUGCAUGUGGAAGGUGCCAGGUUCAAGAAAGUUCUGCGGAGUCUCCAGAUGCCUCGCUGGUCCUGAUUUACAAGGCUGUUUGUUUAAGGCAGAGCUCAGGCAGCCCCUCCUAAUGGAGGCAAGAACAUCUGCAGCCCCAUCAAUCUCACACAAACCUCUCCUCCACCCAAAGAUCUGGGCAGAAUUCUCUUGCCUUGGUGUCUCGCUACCAGGCCAGUUUAUGGAACCUGUUCCUUCGCAGGCUGACACCGUUUCUUGUCCCUUCCCCCAGCCCUCCCCUCCCCUUGCUGCCUCACCUUGUAGCCCCCAACCUCAGGAGUUAGUCAGGAAUGGACACACUGGCUCCUAACAACCCCUGAUGGAUGGCGCAAUGGGAGUGAUAUUGAUCAAGCCUCAUUAGAAAAGCUUUUUCAUCACCAGGCAAAGUGUUUCUCUGCUCCCCUGACAAAUAGGGGUGUCACAGGGCACUGACGACAUCAUAUAUCCUCUCUUCUUCUUUUUCUCACAGCCACCCCCUCCCGCCUUCAACACCGUGCUCAGAGAAGAAAACAACUCAGGAGUGGGGGUGGGGGAGGCAGCACACAAACGCAGGGUCAGGAGCAUCCAGGUUGAGAAGGGAAGACAAGUGCUGGGGAGAGAGAAAAUGAUAGUGAGAUUGGGAAUUCUUGCUAGAUAGAGAAGAGCAGCUACAGAUUUGGUUUUGGCAGAAGAGGAGAUGAGGAUAUAUGAUGCCCUCAGUGCCCCGUGACAUCCCUAUUUCUCAGGACAGAGAAGCAAGGAUGUGAUUUUCCCAGGACUCACUUGGGAAAGAUGUACGGAUGAAGUCAAUGGACUUUGGUGAAGUAUCUACUGAUGGCUGUUCAGAGAUGUAACUCCUUGCUAGAUCUUGAGAAAAAUAGAAUGGAAUUAAAAAUAUUUCUCAUAUUAA